UCCAAUGUAUAAAGCAUUCAUAGAAUCUAACCUCACACCAUACCAAUCCUUAUGUCAGGAUCCUCUUCAAAGGAGAAAGAAAAACAAAGGUAUGCUUUUGCAAAAUAUAAGUUUCUGGUUUAUUUGUUAUAUAGAUUUUUGAAGUUUAUUUUUGAUGGUGUAGUAUAUAAAGAAGAACAGAUAUCCAAGAUGGGAUGCAAUUGGGCUAUUGCAUCCUAACUCCCAAGAUUGAGUUGUCUAAAUACAAGACUGUUAGUUAGAAAUUGCACCUAAAAUAACACAUACAAACCCAGUUACGAUGAGGUUGUUUUGCUGUUUAAAAACAUGAAUCAUUGGGUUAUGUUGACAUUAGCACGGGGGAUAUUGUGCACAACAAGAGGAAAGGGUUUACGGCUCCUCCAUUUAUAAUAUCUCCAAGAAUAAGUUUUGAAGUUAGCGUUCGACUUCUUGGUGAUUUAAUGGUAGGAGUGUACACAAUAGCUUCCAUUUUAAAAAGAAGUAGCCAUGUGUUCAAAUAUGAAAGUGUACGUGUGCGUGAAAAUCGACUGGUUGGAACAAGUAAACCGACGUUAUGUUCAGGUGCUAGGAAGAGACCGGUUACUUGUUAGAUGUGUUGCUAAGUGUCUGGGAUUAGAAGGGUGGUAAAUUCGAUGAACAUAUCUUGGUGAUUUAAUGGUAUGAGUGUAUACAAUAGCAUCCAUUUUAAAAAGAAGUAGCCAUGUGUUCAAAUAUGAAAGUGUACGUGUGCGUGAAAAUCGACUGGUUGGAACGUAAUCCGACGUUAUGUUCAGGACGAGGACUCCAAAGAGCUUGAAGACAUCGUCAUCAAAAUAGAUGGUGAGAAUGUAGUUUACGCAUACAAUGAGGUCGAUGUGAGUUAUUUAUUGGCAUGUGGUUUUCGUAUCAUUGAUACAUCUCAACUGAGCACACAACAAAGAUUACUUGGCAUGUAGCUUUUAUGGAAAGUAUUUGAACCAACUAGCAAAGUGGGCGGGCCAGGCAGGUCCAUAGAGAUGUUCACAUUCAUGUUUCAAAUGUGGGGUCUGCCAAAGUUGUCGGAACCUAUGGAGAAGAGUGGUAGUGGUGAUAGAUUAUUACUUUUGUAGUGGUGAUUUUAUUGUUAAUAGUAUCGUGUUGUUGUCAUGUGUUUACCGGUUUGGAAAGACAGUGUCAAAACGAGUUAUUUGGUUAAGUCCCUAAGGCAUGCUCUAUUAUGCAGUUUGGAUGUGAAUAGAUUAGCGGAUGACUUCUUCUGGAAUAAAAUAGUUAUACCAAAAGUCAGUUUAUUUUUAUGGAGAGCAGUGGAGGGAAGGAUUCCAACAGUGGCGAUGUUGUCGAGUAGAGGAUCCAGAUGCAAAAUGUAGAAUGCGUCUUUUGCAACGGCGGGUUAUCUAUUAAUUACCAACAGGUUUAUGGAAGGAGUAUGGCAUCACAUAAAAAAGUUUGUUGAAUAUACCCUUGGGCCAAAACAUUGAUAAAGUUUGUGAAAAAAUGGUAUAAACGACUUGGAUUGUUUAACGGCUCGGAGAAGAUUGAUUCAUGCAGUCUAUGCUUUAACGAUGUCGAGUAUUUGGAAAGCAAGAAACGAGAAAGUGUUCAAAAGUGCAAACGCGGUUCAGCACAAGAUCAUUGAAGAGAUAAAGGAGGCGACUUUUCAUUGGGUCAUACUGUAACACCCCGUGUUACCGAAUGUCAAAGUCAAAGUCAAAGUCAAAGUCAAAGUCAAAGUCAAGUUUGACUUCUUUGACUGUAAUUAGCCUAUU